rnacentral:rRNA from 1 species
AAUGAACGCUGGCGGCGUGGUUAAGACAUGCAAGUCGAACGAGUUUGUUGACGUAGCAAUACUUCGGCAAGCUAGUGGCGAACGGGUGCGUAACACGUGAACAAUUUACCAUCGAGUGUGGAAUAGCUCGCCGAAAGGCGAAUUAAUACCGCAUGUGAUUUAUAGUCAUAUGAUUCUAAUAUUAAAGCCAGGGACCGCAAGGCCUGGCGCUCGAUGAGAAGUUCACGGCCUAUCAGCUAGUUGGCGGGGUAACAGCCCACCAAGGCAAAGACGGGUAGCUGGUCUGAGAGGAUGACCAGCCACACUGGAACUGAGACACGGUCCGGACACCUACGGGUGGCAGCAGUUUCGAAUCAUUCACAAUGGGCGAAAGCCUGAUGGUGCGACGCCGCGUGAGGGAUGAAGGUCUUCGGAUUGUAAACCUCUGUCACCGGGGAAGAAAUGUCAUGAGUAAACAUCUCUUGACUUGACCUAACCCGGAGAGGAAGCAGUGGCUAACUCUGUGCCAGCCGCCGCCGUAAGAC